ensembl:lncRNA
UUUCUGCUUAAAUGCACAAAUCCAAGUAGUUUUUCUCACCUACCAGCAGUUUCCACGGAAAUAAAUAGGAGGUAUUACUUUUGGAGCAUCAGAAUCACAGAAUGGCCCGGAUUGGAGGGGACUUCAAGGAUCAUGAAGCUCCAACCCCCCCGCCACAGGCAGGGCCACCAACCUCCACAUUUAAUACUUGACCAACCUAGCAACCUACAGAUAUGAAUGCAAGGCUGAGGCACAGAGUGGAUGAAAAUGCUUUUUCCUGCCUGCUUUGUUCAGACUUAAUGUACCUAUAUGCUCUGCACAGACAAGGGGUCAUAAAGAAUUAUGUCAAAGAGAGGAAAAACUGUGGGAUAUGGAUUUGUACAUGGAGAUUCCUUGUGUGAAUGACAGUCAUUCUUGUUCAAGACAAUGUUGGACUUCUGUAUUGUUUUCAGGCUCUGAACAAUCCGAUCUUGAUUCAACACUGGCCUUGCUUUGCACAGAGGUUAGAGUAUUUCUAGAGGUCUCUUUACACCUUAAUCAUCCUUGUGGUUUGACAGUUGCAUUUAUGAUGGUGAGGAAAUCCUCUUCCAAGAGGAAGAUGAGUGCACUUGUGAGACUGAGAAAGUUGGAGGAAAGAAAACUACUGUUUGAAAUUCAACUUUUCCCCAUCUCUUGGGCCCAAAAGUGCUGACAGUUUUGAUUUGGGGGCUUAAAUUAUAUUGCAACAGCUGUUGAAAUCUGCAGACUGAAAUGUCAGUGUUGCUGAAAUACAAUAGCAGAGCACCAGUAAAUAUACCCAGAUUUAGCUCUCGUGUAUUCCUUUUUUUAUUCCGUAUUCCAUCAAUACCUUUGUUGUACAUUCUUUCACACAGAUAGCUCCUUUCCUUCAAGGUGGCUUCACUGCCUAGCAACCUUAUAAAAAUAAACAUCACUGUUCUGUAUUCACAGC